rnacentral:rRNA from 1 species
GACGGGGCCCGGCACGAAGCGGAGGAGCAUGUGGUUUAAUUCGAUGAUACGCGAGGAACCUUACCUGGCUCGAACGUAAGAUGGACUGUAGGUGAAAGCGUUACAUCUCUUCGGAGCAUUUUCGAGGUGCUGCAUGGUUGUCGUCAGCUCGUGCCGUGAGGUGUCGGGUUAAGUCCCAUAACGAGCGCAACCCUACCUUUAGUUGCCAGCAGUUCGGCUGGGCACUCUAAAGGGACUGCCGGUGUUAAACCGGAGGAAGGUGGGGAUGACGUCAAGUCCUCAUGGCCUUUAUGACCAGGGCUACACACGUACUACAAUGGCCGAUACAAAGGGCAGCGACACUGCGAGGUGAAGCCAAUCCCGUAAAAUCGGUCUCAGUCCGGAUUGGAGUCUGCAACUCGACUCCAUGAAGUUGGAAUCGCUAGUAAUCGUGGAUCAGCAUGCCACGGUGAAUACGUUCCCGGGCCUU